rnacentral:rRNA from 1 species
GUAGGCUGCAACUCGCCUACAUGAAGCUGGAAUUGCUAGUAAUCACAGGUCAGCAUACUGUGGUGAAUACGUUCCCGGGCCUUGUACACACCGCCCGUCACACCAUGAGAGUUGAGAAUACCCGAAGUCCAUGUCAAAGUGGCCGAAGGUAGGCUUGAUGAUUGGGGUGAAGUCGUAACAAGGUAUC